ACGCUCGACACCUACGGAAGGCAGCAGUGGGGAAUAUUGCACAAUGGGGGAAACCCUGAUGCAGCGACGCCGCGUGGAGGAAGAAGGUCUUCGGAUUGUAAACUCCUGUUGUUGGGGAAAAAGAGGAUGGUACCCAACAAGGAAGUGACGGCUAACUACGUGCCAGCAGCCGCGGUAAUCUGAGCGGGCUGGCAAGGC
rnacentral:rRNA from 1 species